GGCUCAGGACGAACGCUGGCGGCGUGCUUAACACAUGCAAGUCGAACGGGAGUAUUGAAGAAGCUUGCUUAGAGAUACUUUAGUGGCGGACGGGUGAGUAACGCGUGAGGAGCUGUCCUAUGCAGGGGGACAACAGCUGGAAACGGCUGCUAAUACCCCAUAAGCCGAGAGGUAAAAGGAUCAAUCCGGCAGAGGAGGUACUCGCGUCCUAUCAGCUAGUAGGUGAGGUAACGGCUCACCUAGGCGAAGACGGGUAGCCGGCCUGAGAGGGCGAACGGCCACACUGGAACUGAGGUACGGUCCAGACUCCUACGGGAGGCAGCAGUGGGGAAUAUUGGGCAAUGGGGGAAACCCUGACCCAGCGACGCCGCGUGGGUGAAGAAAUCCUUCGGGAUGUAAAGCCCUGUUGUAUGGGAAGAGCGGAAGACGGUACCAUACGAGGAAGCCCCGGCAAACUACGUGCCAGCCGCAGC
rnacentral:rRNA from 1 species